AAAGGAAUUGACGGGUCCCCGCACAAGCAGCGGAGCGUGUGGUUUAAUUCGAUGAUACACGAAAAACCUUACCCGGGUUUGACAUAUAAGUAGUAGGGAUCUGAAAAGUGACCGACCCUUCGGGGAGCUUAUACAGGUGCUGCAUGGCUGUCGUCAGCUCGUGCCGUGAGGUGUCCGGUUAAGUCCGGUAACGAGCGCAACCCCCACUGUAUGUUACAAGUGUCAUACGGAACUGCCGGUAUCAAGCCGGAGGAAGGUGGGGAUGACGUCAAGUCAGCAUGGCCUUUAUAUCCGGGGCUACACACACGCUACAAUGGCCAGUACAAUGGGUUUGCAAGACCGCGAGGUGGAGCCAAUCCUCAAAGCUGGUCUCAGUUCAGAUUGUAGGCUGCAACCCGCCUACAUGAAGUCGGAGUUGCUAGUAACCGCAGGCCAGCCAUACUGCGGUGAAUACGUUCUCGGGGAUUGUACACACCGCCCGU
rnacentral:rRNA from 1 species